rnacentral:rRNA from 1 species
GAUAUCACGAAUCGAAUCAAAGUUUCUGCUUCACGCUAUAUCAAGUGCCAACACAUACAGGAACUGAGUACUGAAUGGUUGAAUGCCGGAUAGCGGCGGACGGGUGAGUAACGCGUGGGCAACCUGCCUCAUACUGGGGGAUAACACAGGGAAACUUGUGCUAAUACCGCAUAAUAUCAUUAUAGGGCAUCCUGUGAUGAUCAAAGGAGCAAUCCGGUGUGAGAUGGGCCCGCGUCCAAUUAGCUAGUUGGUGGGGUAACGGCCCACCAAGGGCGACGAUUGGUAGCCGAACUGAGAGGUUGAUCGGCCACAUUGGGACUGAGACACGGCCCAGACUCCUACGGGAGGCAGCAGUGGGGAAUAUUGCGCAAUGGGGGAAACCCUGACGCAGCAACGCCGCGUGAAGGAUGAAGGUCUUCGGAUUGUAAACUUCUUUGAUGAGGGACGAACACAAUGACGGUACCUCAAAAACAAGCCACGGCUAACUACGUG